GGACAGUGCUUUGAAUCUCAGAAUGAAAUGCGUGCCAGGAAGGAGUUGGCUAUUAGAGCUUUGCAUCCAGCCUGGAUUUGUGUCUGGGAUUGGCCUGAUGCAACUGCAGGACCUCACACUUUGACUUGUUGAACCUCAUACAGCUGGAAAUGGCCUGGUCCUCAUACCCUGCAUGCCAGUAAAUGCUAGCUUUUUGGAGAUGUGAACAGGAGUGAUUGUGUUCAGGGAGUGCCUUUGCACCUGUGGCCUGAAUAAACACCCACUGAAUUAUA